AUCCAUCUGAUGGGUUCAAAAUAGGAUGAAACGUGUGUCCUGCAU
rnacentral:hammerhead_ribozyme from 1 species